CAUGCAAGUCGAGCGAGACCUUCGGGUCUAGCGGCGGACGGGUUAGUAACGCGUGGGAACGUGCCCUUCUCUAAGGAAUAGUCUCGGGAAACUGGGGGUAAUACCUUAUACGCCCUUCGGGGGAAAGAUUUAUCGGAGAAGGAUCGGCCCGCGUUAGAUUAGAUAGUUGGUGGGGUAAUGGCCUACCAAGUCUACGAUCUAUAGCUGGUUUUAGAGGAUGAUCAGCAACACUGGGACUGAGACACGGCCCAGACUCCUACGGGAGGCAGCAGUGGGGAAUCUUAGACAAUGGGCGCAAGCCUGAUCUAGCCAUGCCGCGUGAGUGAUGAAGGUCUUAGGAUCGUAAAGCUCUUUCGCCAGGGAUGAUAAUGACAGUACCUGGUAAAGAAACCCCGGCUAACUCCGUGCCAGCAGCCGCGGUAAUACGGAGGGGGUUAGCGUUGUUCGGAAUUACUGGGCGUAAAGCGUACGUAGGCGGAUAAGAAAGUAUGGGGUGAAAUCCCAGGGCUCAACCCUGGAACUGCCUCAUAAACUACUAGUCUAGAGUUCGAGAGAGGUGAGUGGAAUUGUGAGU
rnacentral:rRNA from 1 species